GGCUACAAUGUGCUGAGUCACUACGAGAAGAAACGAAAGCUCAAGCUCCUGCCAUUUAAGUGGAUACUUUCCGGGAAACGUCCUUACGCAGUUUUGCUGAGCUGGAUGUCGGCUGUUUCAUCAGAGGAAGGUGUUCUAUUAAUUCCUGAGAGAAUGGUGUUAAAAUCUCUAAUGCUGCAGAGCCUGCCCUUAGGCGAAAGCUACUUUGAAUGCCAACAUGUUGGAGAUGGUAUAGGAUAGAGGUGGCAGGUGAGCAGAAAACAUCAUCAAAUUCUCUAACAGUGCUGUCAACUAGAAUUAUAAUGCAAGCC